rnacentral:lncRNA from 1 species
UCCGUCUAAUGCUAUGCAGAAGCUUGAAGCCCAACUGGAUCUGAUGGUUUUUGGUACAUGCUUGCCUACUGCCCUGAGGCCCACACAGAUGGUGUGAGUGACUAACUGAUCCCUCGAUUUUGCACAGCCUACACACUGAUGUCAUUAGAAGAGACUAAUACCUCUGAGAUAUGAAUUCUUUCUACUAUUUGUACUAGAAAAAAUGUGAAGAGGGAAGGCAUGAGCCUUUGUUUUAAAAAAGAAAUAUUGAUGAACAGUGUGACAAAAGCAUCAGAAAGUCUGUCUUUCCUUGGGGCUAUCUGGAGGAAGAAACAGCCUGCCUUAAUGCUGGGGAUUAACCAGGUAAGACUGAACUUGAAGGAGAACUGCAACCAACUGGCAGAGUGUUGAUUUCUUAUUGCAGCGUUCUGCAGAUUCAGGACAACAGUGUGUUGUCUAACACUGAUACAUAUUGCUGAUUUGGAGAGCGUAACACUUACCCUAGCUAAGGUGCUGCACCAGGCCAGAUGACAUGUAGGCUAUUACCUGCUCAAAGGAGACCUGACACUCCCUGGCUGGGCAUCUGGUGACUGCUCCGUUCCUAUAAACCC